GACGAACGCUGGCGGCGUGCCUAAUACAUGCAAGUAGAACGCUGAAGGAGGAGCUUGCUUCUCCGGAUGAGUUGCGAACGGGUGAGUAACGCGUAGGUAACCUGCCUGGUAGCGGGGGAUAACUAUUGGAAACGAUAGCUAAUACCGCAUAACAGUAGAUGUUGCAUGACAUUUGCUUAAAAGGUGCAAUUGCAUCACUACCAGAUGGACCUGCGUUGUAUUAGCUAGUUGGUGAGGUAACGGCUCACCAAGGCGACGAUACAUAGCCGACCUGAGAGGGUGAUCGGCCACACUGGGACUGAGACACGGCCCAGACUCCUACGGGAGGCAGCAGUAGGGAAUCUUCGGCAAUGGACGGAAGUCUGACCGAGCAACGCCGCGGGAGUGAAGAAGGGUUUCGGAUCGUAAAGCUCUGUUGUAAGAGAAGAACGAGUGUGAGAGUGGAAAGUUCACACUGUGACGGUAUCUUACCAGAAAGAGACGGCUAACUACGUG
rnacentral:rRNA from 1 species